rnacentral:rRNA from 1 species
UACGUAGGGGGCAAGCGUUGUCCGGAAUCAUUGGGCGUAAAGCGCGUGUAGGCGGCUCGGUAAGUCUGCUGUGAAAGUCCAGGGCUCAACCCUGGGAUGCCGGUGGAUACUGUCGAGCUCGAGUCCGGAAGAGGCGAGUGGAAUUCCUGGUGUAGCGGUGAAAUGCGCAGAUAUCAGGAGGAACACCGAUGGCGAAGGCAGCUCGCUGGGACGUGACUGACGCUGAGAGACGAAAGCUAGGGGAGCGAAUGGG